rnacentral:rRNA from 1 species
UCCGUGAUAUUUGAAGCACUAUUACUCUUCUCAGUUCUCGUCCUUUCUUCUUAUAACUACUUAUUCUGAAACCCGUUCUUCUCUUCUCCCUGGGUUGAUCCUUCCUUCUUCAUAGGUCCCCGCGCUUGAUUUACUUCUUACCUAGAAGAACGCAUCUUUCAACUCUACUCCUCCCGGUUUCACGUUGUCACCGUCGACUCUCUUCCCCUUGUUUUAGGGAUCGCGUUGGUUAAAAAACCUAGUCCGGACCGUAGAGUAGAGAGAGGGAGUGGGGAGGAAGAGGUGGUGGCCGGCGGCGGCGCCGGUCCGGCCGCACCGCCACGCGGACGACGAGGAGGUGAGUCGGUGCUCGUGGUAGGUAGGUAGGGUCGGCACGGCACGGUAGGUAGGUGGUGAUGUGGUCGCGGUAGGGAGGUGAAGCGGCAGGCGCAGGGUAGUCUGUGCUCCUGCGCCCGCAGACUUCGAGGCGCACUCGCGAGGAGGGGCGAGGAAGAGAAAAGAGAGUGGCGGGGGACGAAGAAAGGAGGUGAGGAGGUAGCGAGACGUCGAAGGGGAAGGGAACGGAGCGUCGACUGUGAGAAGAGUUAGAGACGACGAGGAGAGGUAGAGCUUUGACGAUGGAGAGAGAACGACGAGGGCAAGACGAAGAGGAGAACGACGACGACGAACACGCGACGUCGACGUGGAAGAAGAGGACGGAUGAAGAAGAAGAAGAAGAGACAAGUGGAUGGCGACGACGAAAAAGAGAGACGGAACGACGACGACAGAAGUUGGACGAUGACGACGAGAGAAGAACGGGUGCGGAGAACGAUGACAGAAGAAGAGACUUGGGUUUGACAACGACGAAGAGAAGAGAGAAAUGCAGAACGUUUAAAAACAUUUGACGAUCCACUUGAACACAUGACAAGACUUGUGAUUUAAAGACAUUUUAAUACUAUACAUUAUGAAACUAAUCAUGAGACGGUCACAUACACAUACAAAUCGGAACACGUAAAGAAAGAACGUUAGAUAACAUUAGACAGGGCAUGAUCAUUGAAACGAGGUCAAAUAAACUACAAGUCAAAAGUCAGGGACAAAAUCGAGUUCAUGGGCACGGUAUAUUUAUAUACACACACACAGACUACAUUUAGUAGAUGAUAGACAAGGACAGUAUCGUAAGAAAGAGGGGGAAACAAUGUACAUACUAUCAUUAUAUACACAAGUACAGGGCAACAAAGGGAAAUACAAUCACGAAUUUAAAGAGCUCGGAUUAUUUUUAUGGUUUUUAUGUCACUCUUUUUAGACUUAGAGGGAAACGAAUAUAACGUAAAAGAAACCGCUAAUAGACGUCCUUAAUGGGACAAAUCAAAUCCAAAUAAAGGAACGUUAGUAGUAGACAUAAGACAGUGGAUCGAAAUCAGCUCGUAACAGCAGCAGCGGAUCAGGGACUCCUCUUGUGCUGUAGGCAUCAAACCCGUAUUUUUGGGGCGAUAUAAUGUUAACUAGUAAAACCGCGGCAACGGCCCCUGAUCGCAGCUCACAAACACACUCCGAAAUCUGAUCCAAAUCGAACAAAGGAAAAACACGAAAUAUAUAAACACUAUAUAUAGAUCGGUGAUUGGGGACAAGAUCAAUCAUAGAAAAACAGAAGAAAAGGAAAAACGUCCAACCUAAUAGGAGAGCCAAUACCGAAUGAUAAGUCUAGUAGUCCGAAUACGCUCGUUGUGAUGUUUGUCGUGCCUUUCACAAGUUCUUGACUAUCCAUUCUAAAGGGUAGCUAAUCUACUAAAUCGAGACGUCGCUCUUCCUCAAAAACUCCUAUCCGGAUCGAGAAUACUAGGAAUAAGAUCUCCGAUAGGAAUACAACGAGGAUGGACGGUAUAAACACCUAAAGUCCCGGUAAGCGGGCGACUUACAGUCGCACCAAUGAGGGUAGGAGGCCUAACAAAACCGUACUCGAAGCGAGUUGUCGUAUCGAGUAUGGUUUUGUUAAUGUGUGUACCCACCGGACUUUUGGUCUUAUACAGUGUAUCCUCGUUAUUGGGACUCUAGAGUAGCAAACGAAGAUCAUUAGUAUACGUCCCUAAAUCCAUGUUACUCCUCUCGGUGUUGAUACGUGGUGUUGUUAAGGUAAGUCGAGGAUGAGUAUAUGGUGUCGUGAUCCUCUACACAGGUUACCUCAAUUUACCAGGAGGUAAACCAGUUGGUUGUUGAGGUCGUGGACAACACGUUAGAGUACACGUUCACGGGUGUGUUCUACUCAAGCUACUGUAUCUGUUCGAGUGUGAAAACUCAGAGCUCAAGUGAACCUCACGGCUCCUACUAGGAUAAUCCUUCCAAUAUGAUCUACUUUACUUCUUCUAGUUCUCACCUUUUCUCGAUCACCUUCUUCAUUCCUUCUAACUCUUCUUGUAGUUGCGACCGUCAUGAUAGAGAAGGGAGGAACUCAACUCACACCGACUCUAUAGGUACCUAUGUACACUCCAAGGUUGUGGAAGUGUAAAGCAACUCGUUCUAUCGUUCACGGAACUCGUUCUCUAUGGAGUCUAACUUCUUCUACUUGAUCUUCUGUUCCUUGUUCUACCAGUUCUCGACGUUAAGGGUUCACUAGUUCAACUUCUGAGUAGUAGAUAAUGAGGACUUCUUCAUGUUCUUCGACGACAUCUACUUCUACUUCUUGUACUCUAAGUAAACGGAUAACAGUAUGGUCUCGCACUACACAGUCCAAAUGAGUUAGGAGAACUACUGUACUACGGAACACUAAAGAAACGAUGGUGGAACGUAAUGUACUAUGGUAGUGAAUUCUAACUAAACUUUUGAGUAAACGAACCUAUACUACUAUAUAUGGGACAAUCACCGUAACGAGAGUAAACACUACUAGUGUUAAUGAAAGGAGUACGAUCAGAACUCGAAUUACUAUUUACAGUAGGAGCACACUCAUAACUGGUACGACUAAAGACGGUAGGAUUCGUACACGAAAUAUCAAUACGAAUAUAUUAACCUAUAAGGUAACUACUGAACCUCCCGUAGCUGGCAUAGUGAACAUCAACAAACACACUCAGGAUAAAGUCCGAAAACGAUGACGUGACAAAUGAUGUACGACUGGUCCAAGCUCCACUGUAAGGAACCCUAGGACCACCUCAGUCUCGUACCGCUACUCCCCUCGUGUUUGUCCAUUGUGUUUGUCUCUUCUCACCUCUCUUCUUUCAUCCUCUCUUCUCAUAUGUUUAUGGUCCACUAAGACAAGGUGAACUUCGUUGGAAAUCUUUUAAAUCAUGCUCUUGACCGUAAAAUAACGUAACUUUGAGAAAAACGUAACACUGUGGAAUGAGAAGUGACGUUUCAUCCUAAGUGAGGUUCUUCUAACAACUAAGAGAAUUAUGAUUUUGAUACGUCAACAUAAGAAGAGUACCAUUAAACACUAUUACUUAUGAAAUAUGGAGGUACAUUUACAAGUUACCCUUACGGAACUCAGAUUCACUUUGGAUGAUUACUUAACUACACAACACAGACUGACAGGGUUCAAUUCGAUUCAUUGACCACCGUGAAUUCAUCAUCGAUACUAGAGACCUAGACAUCAUACACUUUUUGUCACGGUAAUCGAUACCUAAGGAGAAAGUUAAUAAGGACAAAAUGAAUUCGAUUCAUUAAAAGAUUAUUGAUUUAUUUUAUUAAUAUUAUUAAAUUCAGGCUAGCUGGAUAUCAUCGUACAGUACAAGGGACCUAGCUACCGAACACUUUAGACCAUCUAAUCUGACAUUUUUUUUAAUAUAUUUUUUACGAUAUUAAACAGCUUGAUCCACAUAUGGUACAAGAGCCCUAGCCACCAUACAAGGAAACCCCUCUAUUGUUUUUUUAUAUGAUUAUUAAACCAGCUCGGUCCACAUAUGGUACAAGAGCCCUAGCCACCAUACAAGGAAACCACUCUGACUAUAUUAUAGUAGUGAACACGAAAUUUAAGUUAUUCAUUGAACAAAAAGAUUAACUAAAACCCCAGGGUCGAAUAGAGUCCCGACUUCUGUCUCGGUCGAGAACUAAUAAUCAUCAUAAGUCAAACUGAGUUCCGGUAACUGAACCUUGUAAAUGUCACACAAUAUUUUAUAAAGAAUAGUGUUAAAUCGAAGUCAUCUCAUGUAAACGAAUCAAGGUCAUAACAGCCUUAGUGAUAGAUAGCCUUUCACGUAGAAAUGAUCCGUCACACUCAACACAGUGGUAGUUAAAAAAAAUGAAACGAUCUCCUGUUCGUUUCUAAAUUCACACCCCCUUGAACUAUUCGUGUAAAGUAUAUAUGUUAAACCCGUGUGUUUAUAUGGUAAAUAACACUACACCGGUAGUUAAGAACGACACUUUAUAACUUAUGAACGAACUAUUAGUAUUUUCCCAUAGUAAAUGAUAAGCAAACAAAUAGAACGUCUUUUCACGCUCCUCCGUGAUAUUUUAAGCACUAUUACUCUUCUCAGUUCUCGUCCUUUCUUCUUAUAACUCCUUAUUCUGAAACCCGUUCUUCUCUUCUCCCUGGGUUGAUCCUUCCUUCUUCAUAGGUCCCCGCGCUUGAUUUACUUCUUACCUAGAAGAACGCAUCUUUCAACUCUACUCCUCCCGGUUUCACGUUGUCACCGUCGACUCUCUUCCCCUUGUUUUAGGGAUCGCGUUGGUUAAAAAACCUAGUCCGGACCGUAGAGUAGAGAGAGGGAGUGGGGAGGAGGUGGUGGCCGGCGACGGCGCCGGUCCGGCCGCACCGCCACGCGGACGACGAGGAGGUGAGUCGGUGCUCGUGGUAGGUAGGUAGGGUCGGCGUGGCGCGGUAGGUAGGUGGUGAGGUGGUCGCGGUUGGGAGGUGAAGCGGUAGCGCGCAGGGUAGUCUGUGCUCCUGCGCCCGCAGACUUCGAGGCGCACUCGCGAGGAGGGGCGAGGAAGAGAAAAGAGAGUGGCGGGGGACGAAGAAAGGAGGUGAGGAGGUAGCGAGACGUCGAAGGGGAAGGGAACGGAGCGUCGACUGGGAGAAGAGUUAGAGACGACGAGGAGAGGUAGAGCUUUGACGAUGGAGAGAGAACGACGAGGGCAAGACGAAGAGGAGAACGACGACGACGAACACGCGACGUCGACGUGGAAGAAGAGGACGGAUGACGAAGAAGAAGAAGAGACAAGUGGAUGGCGACGACGAAAAAGAGAGACGGAACGACGACGACAGAAGUUGGACGAUGACGACGAGAGAAGAACGGGUGCGGAGAACGAUGACAGAAGAAGAGACUUGGGUUUGACGACGACGAAGAGAAGAGAGAAAUGAAGAACGUUUUAAGACAUUUGACGAUCCACUUGAACACAUGACAAGACUUGUGAUUUAAAGACAUUUUAAUACUAUACAUUAUGAAACUAAUCAUGAGACGGUCACAUACACAUACAAAUCGGAACACGUAAAGAAAGAACGUUAGAUAACAUUAGACAGGGCAUGAUCAUUGAAACGAGGUCAAAUAAACUACAAGUCAAAAGUCAGGGACAAAAUCGAGUUCAUGGACACGGUAUAUUUAUAUACACACACACAGACUACAUUUAGUAGAUGAUAGACAAGGACAGUAUCGUAAGAAAGAGGGGGAAACAAUGUACAUACUAUCAUUAUAUACACAAGUACAGGGCAACAAAGGGAAAUACAAUCACGAAUUUAAAGAGCUCGGAUUAUUUUUA